AUAACUUUUGGUGUUUACAAUAAUUUUAACAACAAUAAUACAGUCUUUAGUAACUACUUUGAACAUUGAAACUAACCAUUUUUAUUGUAGUGAGCACAUUUGAAGGUAAACAUGCUAAAGAAAGAUAAUAGUAAUACCAGUCCAUUAAAACAACUUUUGCUUUCAUAUCUAUGCCCACUCCAUUCAAAUCAAAUACCGAUUAAGCAUUCUAAUUAAUGGCAUCUUAUAUGAAACUUAGUAUGAGUGUAAAAUAUUACAAACCUAGUACUUAAUGCUGAUUCCCAAAUUUUAACAACAAAAGUUUGUCAUAGUCCUACUCAAUCAAAAUGAGACAACCCUGGAUAAGGAAGAUGAAUCUGGCCACGGGUUUGCCAUCUUGAAGGGAGUUUGUGACCAUGAUGUUGCAACCAGGGGGGGCUGAUUUAGACGUGAUCAUGACUCAUGAGGCCUUUGAGUUAUCGAUAUUUACCACAGGCGGGCCUUGUGAAAUCCACGAUUUUGGCCCAUCACCCGUAAACGGACCUGAAAAAGUAUUUUUUUCUCUACUUUUUAUUACUUCAAUAGAUAUUUCUACCUACAUUUUAACAAUUUGAUCUAGAAAAAAAAAAAAAGGUAGAAAGGAUUUGUCCUAUGGAAUGGGUGAGAUGUGAGCUGAAUUUAUUUGUAGGAUAAGAUUUACAAUACAUAGAUGGAAAGACAAAAAUAUACAAAAGGGGUGCAAUUUCAGUGGCGGAAUCCGGGGAAAAAGAAUAAUUAAAUGUGAAAGAAGAAGAAUAAAAAUCAAUGGAUGAGGUAGGUAAUAGCUAGGGCAAGUAGAAGGAGAAUGUAAGCAAUUCCUUGAUCAAUGGCAGUACCAUCGCUGGAAGGGGCAGGUGCAGGUGCAGGUGCAGGCGAAGAACCCAUGGUUUGGCCGUAACUGAGUUGCACAAGUGCAAAUAACAGGAACCCGAUGGCCGCUGGAACAACAUGAAACUUCAUUGAACCCAUCUUUAAAAUAAAGUUUUUUUUUUUUUUGUUUUUUAAUUGAAAGAUACAAAAACAAGGGGAGAGUUUUGUGGGCGUGUUGGUGAAAUUUUGAGGAAUUUGAUGGUAUUUAUAGUGGGUGGGACGGCAAUUUCCUGGAAAGCGAGAGGCGUAAAAAGUUGAAACUGAUGGUGACCUUUCUGCGAACGCAUGGUGGACAUCGGAAAAUUUUGACUCAGGUUGGCUUGGUCUUGGCUGCUGCUACGUUAAAGAACAAAAGAUUGACUAACCUUCCAAGGGUGGCUUGCCUUUGAUGUUUCUAAAAAUGUGUCUUUGGGCUAAGCCUAGCCCCAUCACCCUGCCCUUUACAUUUCUUUCAUUGUUUUUCUAAACCAAUUCUUACUGCAAUUCAUUUUCUAAUGCAUACGGUUACAAUAAUAACGAUACUAAUUGAGUUAAAAUUUAAUUAAUAUUAUUAAGUUAAAAUUUAAUUAAUAUUAUUUUUAUUAUUAUUUAUACUGUAUAGACUCGACAAUUAAUAAAAUUAUUAAAAAAUUAAUUUUAAUAAAGUAUUAAAUAUAAAUAUAAUAAUAUUUUUUCUUUUACUAGUUUGUAUGAAAUGUUUAAUUAAAACAACUAAAAUAAAUAAAUAUAUAAGGAUUGAACUUAAAUUUAAUGAGAGUUUAUUUAUAUAUAUUUCACUAUGCUAUUUAUAAUUCAAUUGUUAAAUAAUUUUUAUAAAUAUAUUUUUUAAUAUUAAUUUUUUCAUUGUGACAAAAUCUAAUUCUAAGAAAAUCAAAAUAUUUAUGCAUGUGAUGAAUUUUACAAUAAUUGUGAAUCCCAGAUCAAGCCACAACAAAGGACACAAUUGAGAGGUGAUUGCAUUUUGCACUCUUUACUUAAAAAAUGAGUAAAUUAGUCAUUAUAUGUUACAUUAAAAAAUAAAUUGAUCUUUUUGAUAAAAAUUCUAUCCAUAUCUACCGUUUAAAAUUAGUCCAUGUAUGUCAAUAUAAGGUACAUAUGACACGUCACAUAUUAUCAUUUAGUUAUUUCAUUAGCCACGUCAGUUUUUAACAUUACAAAUAGAUAAAAAUUUUAACAUAAAGCCUAACAUGUAAAAAUUAAUUUACUUAUUUUUUAAUUAAAAAAAAUAUAAUCUAAUUCUUAAUACAUAACUUCUCUUUUUGGAAAAUGACCCAACGUGUGAGUGGGGUUUAGACACUCUUAGAGUUAGUUUGGCAAUACUUUUGUAAAAGUGCAGUGGAAAAAUACUUCUGAAGAGUGUUUCUGAAAAAUUUGGUUUAAAAUUUAAAUGUUUAGUAUUACUAUUAAAAAGUACUUUUGAGAAAUAAAAUGUUCAUUUUAGACAUGUUAUUAUCAAGUAACAAAUAUAGAUUUAAAUAAUAUUUAAAUUAGUUAAUAUUAUUAUAUUUUAGUAAGAAUAUAAAAAUUAUUAUAAUUUGUUGUUAAUAUUUUAAUAUAUGAAAUAUAAAUUUAAAAUAUUUUUAAGCAAUAAAUAUUAAUUAUUUAUAAAAUUUAAUUAAAAUAUAUAAACUAUAUUUUAAAUAUUUAAAUAUAACCAUUAAAUAUUUGUAAUUAGUAUUUACAAAAAUAUUUUUUUUAUUUUUAAUUAAUGAUUUUAACAUAUUUGUAAUUAAGCACCAAGAAAAAAAAAGAGAAAGUACUAUAUUAUUGGAGGGGUAAAAAAGUAAUUAAGUACCAAAAGUAUUUUUGGGAGAGGAAAAACAAAAAAUUUCAGCCAAAAAUAACUUAUUUAGCAUAGAUUUUCUUUCAAAAAUACUUUUAAAAUCAUAAAUACUUUUUUUAAGCACUCCUAAACCCUAAGCCAAUAAUGCUGUCAAAUCUAACUGAUACCUUUUUUUUUCAAAAAGAAAAAGAACUUUUGGAGCAUCAUCAUGUAUCUCGAAACCAUUUUUUUGAAAACAAAAAUUUAGUUGUCGACUUUAAAAAACAAAAACUGGAGUCGCCACUGAUCCUUGAUUGAGGUGUGAUCGGCCCACCUUAAAAACAAAUUUGGCCUGCGAAAUUUGAAAAAACGGGUUCGGGAGUCAGUUACGCACGAGGAAGGAUUAGCACCCUCGUAACGCCCAAAAAUCGGUACCAAAUUGAUUGUUUAGUGUCUUGGAGUCGAAAAUUAAAGAGAUUUUGUUAAACUCAAAUGUUGAAAUCUGAAAAGGAUAAUCAAUUACUCAAGUCAUGCGAAGAAAUUGAGACCCAAUACGUUAGGGUACAAUUUCUCAAAAUCCCCGAAUUUGAAUAUCACCUUUAGCUUUUAAAGAAAAUCUUCAUUUCGAGAAAAUAAUAUGUCAUGCCCAAUACGUUAGGACACCACAAAUUAAGUUCCCGAAAAUGAUUUUUAUACUUAUACAUUUUAAAUAACGAAUAUUCUCGGUUAUUUAGAAUUGAUAAAGAAAAUCGGAACCCAAUACGUUAGGGCUCAAUUUCCCUCGAAAAUCCCUAACCUUGAAUAUCGUUUUUAUUUUGAAAGCCUUUGGAUCAUAAAACCGUUUUAAAUGUUUUAACAAAAUCAAUAUAUAUUUUGAAAAUAUAUUAAAAUAUUAAUGCAAUAUGAAACAAAUAUUUUAAUUUAAAUUAUGCAUAUAUGUGUAUUUACAAAAUAAAUUAUGACAUAUAAGUAUAUCUUAAAAUAAAAUGCCUAUGCAUACGUUAAACGUAUAUAUAAAAACUAUGAAAGUGAGGUAUAAAAUAUGUAUAGGUAUAUAAAAAAAUAUAAGUAAAAUAUAUUUAUAAAAAUAUGAAAAUGUGUAUAUAUGUAUGCGAGACAAAUGCAAAAAAUAUAUUUAAAUACUUAUGAAUAACGUAUAUACAUAUAUAUAUUUAAAAGAACAUAUAUAAUUGAUCAAAUUUCUUUAAAAUAAAAAAAAAUGAUAUGAAAAUUAUAUAAUAUAAAUAUAUAUAUGCAUAUGUAUAUAAAACUAAGAAAAAUAAAGUAAUAAUAAAAUAUAUGAUAUACAUAUAGUGUAUAUUUUAAAACGUUUUAAAAAUGUAUAUAUAUAUAUAUUAAUAUGCCUAUACACAUGUAAAUAAACAUAAUAAUACUAUAUAAUAUGAUAAUAAUAAUAAACUGAUAAUAAUACAGUAAUAUUAAUGGAAAUAAAGAAGAAAGAAAAAAAAUAUUCUAAUUUAGACUUUAAACAAACAUUUAGGGCAAAUUUAUAAAAAAUAAAAUGCAAAUGGACCAAUUAGAAUGCACAAUUAACUUUGAAGGAUCAAAAGGGAAAAUAAUCCCUCCCUCCAAAACGCUGCACAACAAUACGGGUCAGAUUGAAACAGUUAUAAAACAUGUGGCCAAAUUUAUAAGAAAUAAAUAAUUUAAUUUACAAGCACUGUAAAAAGAAAGGACCAGUUUCGAAAAUAAACCAUUUGAAUAAAAAACAAUCAAUGGCCAUUAAACGGCACCACUUUUCGUUAAUAUUAAAAAAAAUAAGAAAACAAAAUUCCUUUAAAAACAUCUUUAUUCCAUUUUCUUUAAAGAACAGAGGGGAAAAGGGGGGGGUUCUCUGCUAGGUUUUUUCUUAGCACCCUCCCCACACGUCGCCACCAUCAAAGAUCCACCGCCGCUGAGCCGUCCCUUGGCCUCCGACGACGCUCCGGCGACACCAGGUAAGCCCCCUUUCUCUCCCUCUUCGUUUAUUUUUGUUGUGUUUUUUUUUAAAAGAAGCAAAAGAAAAGAACAAGGUAAAUUAAAAAAAAACAGUAAAAGAACAGAGAAAGAAAACAAGAUCCCACCUUCAAAAAUGUUUCUUUCCGUCUAUUUUCUUUUUGAUUUCGGUAUAAAAAAUUUGCUAACCCCUUUUUACAGAAAUCCAUUGGCUUUUUAUAGCCAACUCCUUUUUUACAAUCUGCUCCCCUUUAGACACUCCCACUGUUUGUGGUUUAUUGCAGGUAGAAACGGCGUUGUGCGAAGCUGCUGAUCGUGGGUGAAGCGACGUGGGAGUGAUGGGCAGUUGCUGCAGCGUGGGGCAUUGUUGCGAGGGAAGAACGUGGGCAGUUGCGGUUGCUGCGGCGCUGAGGCACAAAAGCUGCCUAGGGCUGCUGUUGAAAAUUGUUAGGGCUAGGUAUUGGGCCAGUGUUGGAUUAUUGUAUUUGGGCCGAUGGGUUUGGGUUUGAUGUAAUCUGGGCUUUAGUUUUAGUUGGGCCCGGGUAAAAUUGGGUGUUACAGUGUUUAUAUUUUUAAAAUUGCAUUUCGGGUUAAUGUGUAAAAUUCACCUAAUUUAUUCUCAUUUACAUUCAAAUUACUUAUGUUUUGGAUAAAUCUGGUACGACAAAAAAGAAAAACUGAAAACAGUAAUAAAAAACCUAAAGAGGCGCAAUAUUGAUGGCAAUUGUUGAGGAGGCUCCCUCAUCUCCCAACCCAUGCCAAUGUUCACACAGCGUCUAAUAUAAGCUAUAUACUCACUCAUCACUUCAAAUUAAAAUAGUUCCCGAAUACCAAAACACACUUUUUCAUAAUUUUAAGCCUAUAGUUGUUCACAUUUCAAAAGAUUUAAUUUUUUAAAAAUAUUUAAGAAUGACAUCCAAUUAGAAUGUGACAUUUCCUUACACACCACUAACAAGGUUGCUAAAUUGACACCAUUUUAGAGUUAUUUGUCAACAAUUAUAUUUAUCCGAGAAUAACUAACUUUAUUUUCUAAAUACGUAUCUACACUAGCCUUCCUGUUGGGAACAGAAUGAAAGAGAUGUUGAUAGGCUUUAACAUAAAAGGACGUGGCAGCACCUCAUUAUGAAGUGGAAUCAUGGUAGGGAAAGUAUCGUUUAUUAGGUUAAGUGGGCGUAUGAUAUGAGUCAGCUGAUGCUUUUGGACCACUCUCUAACACUCGAAGAAGCUUUCAACGUCAAAGCAAAAGCUUUCUGGAAUCUAUCAAAACACUGCUUUAUGCCCCAGCCUUUACUUCCCCACCUCUCCUUAUUCCUUCCUUUGCUUAAUCGUUUCCCUCAUAUAAAAAACUCUCACACCCACACCCAUACUUUGCUUCACAACCUCUGUUCACACACCAACACCAACAUCAUCAUAAUAAUACCCAGAGUGAAAGGCUCAAGGGAGAGAAAGGAAACAAAAAUGUGCCAUGCAAACAUUCCUUGUGGUGGCAAGCCGGACUUGCUGGUGCAACGCAGCUGGUUCCUUUUGCAGGCAUCUAUGGUCGCUAACGACCAUCAUUCACCCAGGGUGGCUAGAGACACUGGUGGAUCCACUGGUUCCAUGAAGUGGUGUAUGUGUUCACCUACAAAACACCCGGGGUCUUUUCGAUGUAGGCACCACCAUGCAGAUUAUGUGUGGGGUGGUCGAUUCAUCACCAAGAAAUGACUGCACCACUAUUCCUAGAACUUGUGUGGGAGAGGGGUGACUGGUAGUAUAUAAUGUAACAAAUGGUUUCAACUAUUUCAUCACAUAUACGGCUUCUCCUUCCUAGAUAUUUCUUCUUGUUUUUUUUCCUCGUGAAAUCUGUUUCUUGGCCCACUAUUGCUAUUUCCCAUGAUACCUGCGCUUCAACUCCCAACCCAUUUCUUGAUAUAAGAAUUCAAUGAAACGAAGGAAAACUGUAGAAAUCUCUGUAAUCUAAUACUUUUCUGAUUUGAUCUAACAAUUAUCACCCUUAUCUUUGAACAUCGUAGUAAUUUCUUCUGGCUGUUGGUCUAUCCAAUUCAACAAAAAUAUUAAACAAUUGAUACCCUCCAAGCCUCUUCACAUGAGAAUUUAUAUUUAAAGAACUACAACUGCAAGACAUCGAUUAUGUUCUUAUUCAGCAUGGAGGAAACCAACUACAGAAUAGUAUUAGCCUAUCCGUGCAAAGCUCAAAUCCAAAUUCUAAAUUCAAUUGCAUCUCAAUAUUUAUAUAAUCAUAAGGUAAGCUGCAGAAAACUUAGCUAAAUAUACCAUUUUCAUCCAAUCAUGCUUUUACAACUGCUAGUUAUAUGUACUUACUAGUGGAAUGCACAUAAGUGUACUUUGUGGCCUGAACUAAACUAUGUUCAUUUACAUUACAUGUACAGUGUCAUCAAAGAGGAGCCAAAUCACAGCAGAAUCCGAAUCUGUUUCCCACUUCUAGUACAUCUAUUAGAGCACUGCCCACCACAUUACUGCAAACCACAAGCCAUCAUAGGAUUAUCAGUCAAUGUAUCUUUCAUAGAAAAAGUAGGCAUCCAGGUAUUGAAGGAAGACUUUUCAUAUAGAUCACAAGCAAACUAAAACUAGUCUUAGCAAGGUACAUAUGAAAAAGAAGGGUAAGAAGCCUUGUUAUUCCAUAUUAUACAAUUUUAUUUCAUACAAAAACUAAAAACCAAGGAUCAACGCUGUUCCCUACCUCUUUUUCCCCUCUAUGCAAACAGAAAAAAGGAAAAUGAUUUGAAACUCUUUCUGCACAAUGCUAAUCGCUGAGCCAAUGAUACAACAGCAAAACUUAAUCCAGCUAAUCAAGACAAUAUUGAUUAGGACAACAGAUUAUAGUUUAUGUUGGCAUUUAAUGUCAAAGAGCAGGGAACUUCAAAAUCAGAACAAUGACAUGUCUCACGGUACAUUAUUGCAAGUUUAGUGCAUACAAGUUUAUCAAGCAGUACCAUAUAUCCUUCGAGUUAUUAUCUCCUAGCACUCUGGUUUACACCUCUAGGAGAUUAAUGCUACUUUUGGUGGGAGUAUUAUUUUUUCACCAUAUUUUAAUGUAUGAGUUAGCAAUAAACUAACUUCAAUUGGCAAUUUUUAGUCACUCACAUGACUUGUUUUUGGAAAAGAGGAAGAAAUGUUUUUGCUUAUUUUGAAUGUCUUAUUUUUUUUACAAAAUUUUUUAUUCAUCCUUCUAAAUUCAAGCUUAAAAUUGUACUGACUAUUCUUUAUUGUAUGUCUAAUUAUUGUAAUAUAUUUGUAUAAAAUAAGCUUAUUCCUCAUGUUAUUACACUAGUAUCUAAACGAGACAUAAUUGUAGUGCACAAGGAAUAACAAAAAGUUGAUUCCUCACCUCAGCAUAGCAGUCUUGACGAACAAUUGACUGAUUAUUUCUAUCCAUGUACACCUCACAGGACACUUUUGCCUGAAACAUCAUACAUUCAAAAUCAAACGUGGUUGAAGCACUGAGCAUCUGCAUUCAUUGUGCAAAGUCAAGACUGAAGAAUUUGUAAAAAUAAGCAAACAUUAACUAUCGCGUGCAAAACUGCCAAACUGCAAUCCUCAGAACAGCAAAAGGAAAAAAAGAAGGGGGGUUAUGGACCACCUCCAUUCACUACUAAUAGUCAUUUUUGGAUGCUUACAAACUUUGUAUUUGCAACUCAAUACUCAAGGCAUACUAAAGUUAUAUGUAUAACACUCAUGAAAAGAUUUCCGAUAAGAGUACCAGUCAGGAUUGUGAUAUUAUAAACAUCAAUUUAUCUAUAGACUGAUGCUAAUGGGUCAUAGAAUAGACAUCAAUAAUAAAGAAGAAUCGGAAGCAUGGAAGCGCUAAUCUUUAGUGUUACUUCUGGACAAUUUAUCAACCAACUUGUUCACCAUAUCCUAGCAAUGUGGGCCAAAAUAGGCUUGCUUAGUGAUUCUAUCGCACCCAAAAUUUUAACUACUUAUAGUCAUUAAAUUAUUGAACUUAGUUCCCCAUCUCGAUCAGUUUCAAUACCAUCAUGCAUCAGCUAAGCAUAGCUGUCUACAACAAGCCAUCUCAAUAACCCACCUACGGAGCCACUGCCUCCUACUAAAAGGAAGGAAAAAGCUUUUACUUCACAGAAUUUCUGCUUGUUCUGUUGUUAAACAAAACAUAAGUGCCUUUAUAUAUUUAUGCUUAAACUCAAUCGAGUAUGGGAAUUGCAGAGGUCUCUUCACUCUUUUUUACCACAAACAAGCAUCAAUCUAUAUAACCUAGAUUUUAUACACUCCAUAAUCAUGCUUAUACCUCUAGUGGCAUAGCUCUAACAACUACAACAACCAUCCAAUUCUUUUAAUCUUUACUGACCAACUAAAUUCAAUAGGAAGAUACUUUCUCUCUUGAUGGUUACAUGUACCUACUUAUUUUACCAUCCACCUAUGCAAUCCUGGCUUCAGCUUCUUGUAAAAAGUAAUUACUGCUCUUUUCUAGAGAUAUUAGUUACAGUGAAACAACUUUAUUGGGCUCAAAACAGCAUAUAUCCAUUCAAAUCAAAGAAACAGCAUCAAAACCAAGUCAUUAGAAAUGGAACAACAAAGUUGAAAACUCAACCCCAUCCAAAGUGUAGUGCAGUAACACGCAUUAUCUUUUUCUCUAAACAUCCAUUAGUAAGAUGUGACGGAAUUCAGAACAUGCCUGUAACUAAGAAACAAUAUGCCCUAUGAUGCUGGUGGAUCCACAAAUAAGGUUAUUAAACAACAAUCAUGUUCAAUCUAAUCAUGAAACAUUAGUUUUUUUUUGAGGGAUUUGCCCAGGGUUUCUUUCAAACAGUAAUGCAUCAUUACCUAAUAAACUCAUAGACUAAUUGAUGAAGAAGAAUAAAACCAAAACACUAGAAAUGGUAAGAAAAGUUGAAAUUACAAAAUAUACGCUCCAAACAAAAUAAACCAUCGAAUUGAUUGCAGAAUCAAAUUCAAGGGAGAAAAAGAGAGAGAAAGGGAUGACCUUGAGGGGAAUUUUGAAGAGAAAAAGACCAAGAUCUCCAUCAACCUUAGUAUUAGUAUCAAAGGGAAUAACCCCUUUAGCCCAAUCCGAAAGUAAAUAAAUCACAUCAUGAACAACCUCAAACCCAUCCAAAUCGAGUGUGGCGUUCACGUACGAGCUCCCUCUGGCUCGGACGCGCCCACCUUCCGAACUCACCAGUCCCAGUUCCCUCCCUCUAUACCCAACCGAAACGACAAGCUUAUCAUAGUCCAAAGAAAAAAAGUCCCUGUUACGGACCCUGAUGGUCAAAGAAAAUGAGAGGUCGAGUGUGAGUUUGGGCGACGUGUUGACUCCUACGUGGUUGAGUUGGAGUCGGGCAAGUUCGAGAGUUGGAUCGGAAGGGUAAAGCAAGAAUAGGGCUGCGGAGAGGAGGAGGAUGACGGAGGUGAAGGCGAGGCAGUGGCGGAGGCAACGGUAGUUAUCGUUAUGGCGGGGGUAAUAGACGGGUAAAACGACGACGUUUUGAUGGUUAGGGUUUGGAGAGAGACGGGAGUAGGGAGCGGAGGAGUGUCGUAAAUCCUGUUUCGACAUUUUUGUUGUCCUCGUCGUCGGUGGGUUUGGUGGUGCCUUUGGCGGUGGUUGUCAAUUAGAAGUGGGCAAAAGUAAGGAGUUGACCCGUUUUUGGUUUACCAUAUUGCCGCAUGGUGUAAUCACUUCCUCAAAAUAAAUAUAUUGCAGUUGUACAAAUUUAAGAUUAAAAAUAAAUAAAUAAAUAAAUAAAUAUUUUUAUUAUUUUAUAUUUUAUAAAAAAUAUUAAAAGGUAAAUUUUUUAGAUUUUGGGCUUUAAAGUUUUAAAACUCUUUUUUUUAUGCUAUUAUAAUAUUUAUUCAUCUAACUAAACUAUUAUUACAACCCUAUUUAAUUGUAGUGAGCCUUAAAUAGUACUAUUUUUUCUCUAUAUUUUAUGCUUAGAGUUCUAUUCAAGUAAUAACUCUAUUUUAAAUUUUUAAAUGUGUAAUAAUUAUCAUAAAUUCUAUUAAAUUAUAAUUAUUUUAAAUAUAUAAUUAUUACAACUUUUAUUUUAUUUCAAUUUUAAAAUAUUAAAAUGUAAGUUUAAUAAUAUGAUGAAAAAUAAAACAAUUUCAAACUCAUAUAUAUUAUAAAUAGAUAGAUUAUAGAUAAGAACAAAAAGCAUUAAAUUAUUAAAAAAAUUAAUUUUGAAAAUAUUUCUAUAUUAUAAAAUAUUCGAACAUAUAAAUUGUCAAUAAAAUGACAUUCUUUAGUUUUUCUAAUAUAAAAUAGAAGAGUAAUAAAUAAGGCAUGUAACCUCCAAUCAAGCUCCCAUUGUUGAAAAUACUCAUCCACUGUCAUUUUUGGCAUCAAACUUAUUUUUCACUAUUAUUAUUUCGUUGAAAAGUUAUAAUUUUAUUUUUUUAGUUAUUAGUUAAUUAAUAUUUAAAACUCACAUGAUAGCCGCUUUAAUCUUUAAUAUUUAUGCAUUGUGUUAAUUUAGUCUUGAUAUUAAAAAGUCUAACCCUCAAUAUUUACAUAUCGUUUUAAUUUUUUUUUUACACUUUUGCUUUUAUAGUACUAAAUUUAGUUUUGAUUAGUUAUAAACUGUAAAAAAAAAAAAGGAGAGAGAGUCAAAUUACACAAUGUAUAAAUGUUGAGAGUUAAUUUUUUUAGAAUUAAGACUAAAUUGAUAUAAUUUAUAAAAUUUAAAAGUUAAAAUUACUAUUAUGUCAAUUUUAAAAGUUGUCACUGUUAAUCAAAUGGUGACAAAAAAAAGACAAAAUUAAAAAGUUGAGUAAUAUAUUUUUUUUACUAAUAAUUGAGUGGCUACCAAUGUGAUUUAGCCUUAUUUUUAUUAGAAUGAUGUUAAAAAACUGAGGCCAUUUAAGAUUUUAUUUAAAAUAGUCAUGUCAUAUUUUUUCAAAGAGUUUAGAUUGAUAUGUUAAUCAUAUUAAUUUUAACAACCACUCAAAUUCAAGCUUUUGAAGGAGCAAUUGGUAAGUCUUUAUUUAAGCAAAUCCCUUUUGACAUACUGUGUAGGUAUGUCCCUCUCUUAUGUGUGAGUACUCCAACCAUUUAAUUGUAUUUAAAUUUAACAACAUUUCAAAUUUAUGAGAAUACAAAAUUGUCAAAUUUAAACAUAAAAUUGUCAAUCUUAUAAACAAAAAUAGCAUUGUGAUAAAUUUAGCCCUUAACAUUUAUAUUUUUUUUUGUUAAUUUGACUUUUAUAUUUUUUUCGAGCUAAUUUUGACCAUCGACUUUUUAAAAAGAGUUAAAUUUGAUUAUUAACUUUUUAAAAAUGGUCGAAUUGUUAAUUUUUUAAUAGAAAUAUUAAAUAAAAGAUUACAUUUUUAAACAUAACACCUAAUAAUCCAUAUGUACCAUAUACUAAUUUUAGUCCAAGAUUUUUUUUAAAAUUUCACUGUUUUAAUUCAAAUUUAGCUAAAAUUUAUGAUAAUGCUAAAAAUUAUUCUAUUUGCUUGUUGGUCCCUAUAAUUUUGAUUUGAAGAUUAAAAUUUUGGUAAAAAAAGAAAUGGACUAGAGCUGCUCAUGGGCCGGGCGGCCCGGCCCGGCCGAAAUAUGGGAGGGUUUAGGUAAAAAUAUAGGCCCGAAAUAUGGGUUUGGGCAAAAAAAGAGGCCCGAUUAAAAAACGGGCCGGGCCUCAGGCACAACUUUUUGGCCCGGGCCCGGCCCGGCUCGGCCCGAAUAUAAUAAAUAUUUUUAUUUUUUAAUUUAAAAAUACUUUAAAAAUACUUUUUUUAAAAUACUUUUUAAAAUUUAAAAUAUUUUUAAAAUACUUUUUUUAAUUUUUGUUUUAAUUUUUAAAAUAAGUUUUUAGUAUUUAUUUAAAAAACGGGCCGGGCCGGGCUUAUGAAUUUUUUCCCGGACCGGGCCUGGGCAAAAAUCUAGGACCAUAUUUCGGGCCGAGCCCGGAUCCGGACCUAGGACCCAGGCCGAAAUUUUUUUUGAGCCCGGCCCGGCCCAUGAGUACCUCUAAAAUGGACCAAAAAUAUCCUCCCACUCACGAACCAUGGUUAAGUAGAAUUAACAAUAGCACAUUAAAACUAUAUCAAUAAAGUGAAGAGGCAACUCCAGCCUUGAUUCACUCAAGUAAAAAAAAAAACACCAGAUUAGAAUAUGUAAUUUUUUAUUAUAUAUUUUAAGAAAUUUUCAUGUGUUUCUGGCUUAAAAAUAUUUAUUUUUUAUCUUUAAUUUUCUAAAAAAUAAAAAGAAGGAAGAAAAUUUUGAUAUUAAUAAAUCUUUUAGUUUUAUAAAAGUAAUUGAAUUAAAAUAUUGAUUGGGUUAAAAUUCAGAUUAUUAUUUGAAGGUAAAAGUAUUAUUAAAUUUAAUAUUCAUGAGCAAAUCAAAUUUUAGAUUGAAUAAAUUUAAAUAGGAUUCACAUUGUGAAUCAGAUUAUUAUUAUUGAAUGAGUUUUUAAGAUGAUCUAAUAUGCUUUAAGUUAUUAUUAUUAUUCAUAAAAAUACCUCAUUGCAUUUCAGUCCAGGGAAAAGAAGAAAUAAAUAACAGAGUUUUAUGUGGAUCGAGAUCAUCACUUAUCUUUUAAGGGAAGAAGAAAGAGUCAAAAAGUAGAUAUUGAUGAAAUAAUUUUAAUUUCUUUAGAAUGUUCCUGAUCUGUAGCUGAAGUGAUAUUUUGCAAUAAACAGCUGGAAACCAUGAAAGGGUAGGUAAAGCUCAGUAAUCAUAUCACCUUUAAUUUGAUUUUUAACAUGUCAGUUUCUGGAUAAAGGAGAGCCUUUUCUUCAUCGAAUCAGAGUUAACAACAAACUGUUGAAUUUGUUUCAACUUGGAACAUCGAUUACACACAUAUAUAUAUAUAUGACAUGUGUUGAAUUAAUAGUACGAAAAUCGCAGUAGCCUGAAACAGAAAGAGCUUUACCAGAAAAAGAAAAAUGAAGGGAAGGAAAGCUCUUGGUGAUAAGGUGUCUGAUUUAAAGUAGUUGCAGAUAUUUAGAUAAUCACAUCCCAAGCAAAUACAGAGACCCCAGCAUACCUAUAUGUGCAUAUUAUAUAGUUCACAUAUAGAGGGGAGAGUGAGGAUUUGGUGAUAUUUUUCAGGGAUUACGUAGAUUCAACAGACUUGGGAGAAAAAGAAGCGGUGGAAGAAUUAUUGGCAGGCAUAGAUUUGGACCGUUUCAUCAUCCAGGCUGAUGACUUAGAUCGAUGAAACCUGCAUCGAAAGGAGCCCUGGUGAGUUGUUGGUGAGCACAAACAUUGCCCUCCUUUGCCUGAAUUGGGUGCCACUUCUGCUUCUGAUCCUUUGGGGGAGGUGCUUACUGUUAUGUUUCCAUGGGAGGCCAUUGCAAAAUGAGAGAGAAUAUAAUAAUAAAGGAGAAAAAGCAGGUUGAAGGGGCAAACGUGAAGAAGCGAUGAGGCCUUGGUUAUAUAGGACAAGAUGGGUAACUUAAGGCAAAACUCAAAUGUUGUCACUCUUUGGAUAGGGUACAAAGAAGCCAAUGGAUGGAUAAACCAAGUGGGUCGUUCCCCUUUGUGUAAUUUCACCUUUGUUUGUUUUUUUUAUUCUUAACCAUGGUACUGGAAAGAUCUGGGGUUUAGUUACAUCUAUGAUCAGUUAUUCCAUAUUCACAACCAAAUACGAAAGGGACAUAUCAAUUGGUAAAAUGAUAGUAGCAUAGAAUUUUCAACAAGGUUGAAGCUUUGAGAUGUUGAAGGUCUUGACUGGAAUCUAACCCACGUAAAUAAGCCUUUUGGAUUGGCAAAGGGGAUGAGGCAGUGCAUGGGCUUGAGAGUGACUAAAAAUCUCAUCUUAUCUCUUUACUCUUGGAGAGCGUUACCAUAAUCUAAACAGAGUUUGGGCGUUUUCCAAAAGAGGCAGGCACUGCAGUUGUUAUCCAAUUACAACGUUGAAGCCUGAAAGCGAUGUAGCGGGCAGUGGGGAGGGCGUUUGGUUGAUAGUGUGUAGCAGGACAAUUUUGAUGACUGGGUACUACUAUAAUAGGGAUUUGGACGUAGCUGAAAUCAAUGAGCAGUGGCAUCGACAGACAGGCUGAUGGAAUCUGGUGUUUUCCUUUGUUUCCUCUUGCCUUUUCUGAUUAGAAUCAUAAAAUAAUAACAAUAAUCAGUGGUUACACUGUCGGCAUGUGAGGUGACGUUGCAUUGGAAUUUGGAUUGUAAUAAGCAGCUUUAUUGUGUUCUUUGGGUUUUGGGGAACCUAAAAGAUUUUCGC
rnacentral:lncRNA from 1 species